rnacentral:rRNA from 1 species
GUUGAUAAGGUUAAGUGAAUAAGGGCGCACGGUGGAUGCCUUGGCACUAGGAGCCGAUG